AUGCAUGGAGCAUGAAGGUGACAACAACAUGCAAACAGCUCAGCGACCUAGUAUAGGUCUUCAUAGGAUCAGUCUUGCAGUGAAAGCAGAGUAAGAAACAAUGCCAGGAAGACAGUUAACUUUGCAGUAAUACUGAGGUAACAAUUAACAAUCCUAGUUGUUUAUAAAUUGCUGUUACUGCAACUGGUUGUGAAGAUAGAAUCUGUAUGUGGUGGUCUCCAAAUGCUUAGGUUUCCCGAUUAUAAGAAUUUUAAUAAGAAAGAAACAAGUCUGAUUCUACAAAUUGUUAUAUAAAUGCGACAUAGGUGGUUCGGUUGAGUCUGUGCAAGAUUUCAGGCAUUUAAAAUAUCCCUGCAACAUGGAGGUGAGAAAAUCAUAUUCUCAGAAUGAUAAUUCAAGUCUUUAAAUGAAAGCCAUCAGUUGUUGUAAGCAGAGCAAGAACUAAACGCAAGAGAAGCGUGAAACUGUUUCCAGAUUGUGAAAAUGUCCGACUCAGGAAAUUGCUAAAAUACUAUGGG